GCGAACGCUGGCGGCAGGCUUAACACAUGCCAGUCGCGCGGGCACUUUCGGGUGUCAGCGGCGGACGGGUGAGUAACGCGUGGGAACGUGCCCUCUGGUUCGGAAUAACUCAGGGAAACUUGAGCUAAUACCGGAUACGCCCUUUUGGGGAAAGGCUUGCUGCCGGAGGAUCGGCCCGCGUCUGAUUAGCUAGUUGGUGAGGUAACGGCUCACCAAGGCGACGAUCAGUAGCUGGUCUGAGAGGAUGAUCAGCCACACUGGGACUGAGACACGGCCCAGACUCCUACGGGAGGCAGCAGUGGGGAAUAUUGGACAAUGGGCGCAAGCCUGAUCCAGCCAUGCCGCGUGAGUGAUGAAGGCCUUAGGGUUGUAAAGCUCUUUUAUCCGGGACGAUAAUGACGGUACCGGAGGAAUAAGCCCCGGCUAACUUCGUG
rnacentral:rRNA from 1 species